AGUAACAUCAGCAUAAAAAGAUACAUUUAUCAUUUAUUUAUUUCUGUGUCUUUCAUUUACAAAAUACCUGUUUAUGUACAUAUACAUGAAAGCAUUAAAAACGUAAUAUGUAAAUGGCCAUUAGAAUUUUAUGAGACAUAUAAAACGGUAAAAAUUACAAUACAGAUACAUCAAAAGCAACCAGAUUACUGAAAAAAGUAUAGACUUGUGUAUGUGCGUGCGUGUGCAUGACAUUAUUGAAAAUAGCAGUUAUGUAAACACGUUAAUUUUGUUAGAAUGUAAUAAUAUCUAAAACUAUAAUAUAGCUAUUAAUAGUACAAGUGUAUAAGUAGCACAGAGGCAGAAGUGGUCGUAAUAAUAACAAGUUUUGUUUUGUUUUGGGUUUAACGCCGUUUUUCAACAGUAUUUCAGUCAUGUAACGGCGGACAGUUAACCUAACCAGUGUUCCUGGAUUCUGUACCUGUACAAACCUGUUCUCCGCAAGUAACUGCCAACUUCCCCACAUGACUCAGAGGUGGAGGACUAAUGAUUUCAGACGCAAUGUCGUUUAUCAAAUAGUCACGGAGAACAUACGCGCUGCCCGAGGACCGAACUCACGACCCCGCGAUCCGUAGACAAACGCUCUACCUACUGAGCUAAGCAGGCGGGCUUAAUAAUAACAAUAACAGUAAUGAUAAUUUAUACCCCAAAAUCAAGUGAUGAUUUAAAAAAAUGCAUUUAGAAAAUCGUUAGUGAAUAAGGUAAAAAUAUUUCCAUUUAACAACAAUCUCCUUGUAAAUAGAUAACAUUUAGGAUUUCACACUUUGAUAUGUGACUAACAUAUUUUGUUUGUCAAUGAUUUCAAAUAAUCUUCUUAUAUUUUUUAUUACAUCUUAAGACUUGUUGAUUCGUUCAUUGUAACUGCCUCGGUAGCCUAGCGGUAGAGCGUCCGCUUUGAGUGCAGGAUGUCAUGGGUUUGAUCCCCGGCCGAGUCAUACCAAAGACGUAAAAAAUGUUACAAGUAGCUUCCUCGCUUGGCGCCAAGCAUUAAGAGGAUAGUGCCAGGAAUGGCCAGCCCGGUGUAAGUUUAAUGUGACUGGGUGGGGUAUCAUGUCACGUGUCUACGGCGUGAUAUUCCAAUGAGGCAGCACUAUAAAGUUGGGCAUUGUGCUCGUUUAUAUGACUAAACGAUUGUUGAAAAGGACGUGAACCCAACCCCCCCACCCCGCCACAAACACUUAUUAAAUUGUACAAUAAUUUUAUUUCAGCAUCAAAUUGCACGGAUAACAAGAAUAUGGACUGCGAAACAUUAGACAAACUGAUUGAUAUAUGCGACGACAUACAUGAUGCAAAGACUGUUUGCAGGAACUUCUGUAAUUUAUGCUCAUUAGUUGAUGGAAAUUGGGCUGAAUGGUCCCCCUGGUCAGUUUGUGACGUCACAUGUGGACAAGGAAAAUAUACAAGAAUCAGAACGUGUACUGAUCCUGCACCAGCGAACCAUAUUGGAUUGUGAAGGAAAUGCUACCGAUACAAAACCUUGUAUGAAGCCACUUUGUCCAGUACAUGGCGGAUGGUCAGAUUGGUCCAACUGGGGAUCGUGCCCGAUUACUUGUGGAAUAGGAAUACAGAAACGUUUCAGAAACUGUUCUAAUCCCUACCCUUUAAGAUAUGGGGAACAUUGUUUCGGAAACACGAUAGAUAUGAGGAUUUGUAUCAGAAAAACAUGCGACGACGGCGGAUGGACACAUUGGGGCAACUGGUCUACUUGUAGUCUCACCUGUGGCGGAGGAAUGCAGUCAAGAUCAAGGACAUGCACGAGACCACGGCCAUCUGUUUUUGGUCACAACUGUAUUGGCAAUCCUCGUGAGACGCAAACAUGCAACAGAAAAGAUGCCCUCCCAUCGUGUCUGCAUUUUCUGUAGACAAACCUAACACCUACAGCAAAUUCAACGGCAUAGAUAAACUGACAUUCUCUCAUUUCAUUUACCAGCAAGGUGGCGAUUUCAGUUUGGCAACGGGAACUUUCGAGUGCUCUAAGCCUGGAGUCUACCAUUUCAUAGUCACUUUAGUAAAGAAACGAUCAAGCACACGUGUCGACCAAGUAAGCUGUAACAUGUACAAGGAUAGGUCUCAAGUUAUUCAUAUUCAGGUCGAUCCAACCGAUGACGACACAGAUAAGGGAAGUGCUGCUAUAACGGAAUCUGCUAUUAUCCACUUGAACAAGGGAGACACAGUAUACUUGUCUGGUUGCAAUGGUCCGCCGAGUACAUAUAUGGAAAGCUGGACCUCAUUUACUGGAUUCCUCUUGUAUCCGGACAGUUAAAUGCACAUACAUUUUAUACUAUGAAAUAGACAAUACUGCGGUGACAAAAGCACACCAUUAUAUAAUUCUGUGUUUAUAUGAUCAUAACCUAUAUACAUGUAUUUGGAUUAAUCCAUUGACUAAAACUAAUACUGAAAUCAACUUACAUGUUGUGUUUCAGACUUAAGUGUCAGCGUCAGUGGCAAGAGACCAGAAUAAAAGCAAAUGUACAUGUUAAUGUUCUACCCCUAGGUAUACUAUAAGAACUAUGUUCAUAAAUGGGUAAAUAUCCUAACCCAAUUUAAUCGCAUAUUUCUCACCUAAAACACACAGUUCAGUAAUUCUGUGCUAUGGAUAAUUAGCAAGCGGUAAUUAAUCUUCUAUUGUGUACCGGUCACAUUCCUUCAAUGUUUCUUAUCACUUAGAAACAACGCAAAGUUUAUAGUUUUUAUCAACGUUACAAAAAAAAUUGCAUCAUUUUCGUAAGAAUUAAUUUCCUAUUACUGCUUGAGCCGUAUUUUUAAGGAGGAACCAUAAUAUAACUCUUUUUAAGAGCACAAUUAUUGACUGGAACCAACAAGAUUUAGAGGGUAUUUUUGAUCAAGAUAUGCGUAUAUUUUUACGCUUAAUACAUCAUUGACAUUUCCAUGACCGUUUAGCGCACUUUUGACGUCAGAUACACGAAGACAAAAUUUGGCUUAAAAUUAUCGUACCGGCAAAAUUUGUUAACAUAUACCAUAAAUUAUACAUAAAAUGAAAGAUGACAUGAUUACCCAGACGAUGACUUAAUCGGAAUUACUCUAUGUCUAUGUUUUCGCUUGAAAAACUGAGAGCAAAAAAAAAUGUAGCUGCACUCAGCAUUAAAAAAAAUAUCCAUCAUUUUUACUUUAUAAUUUGUUGAAUAUGUUGAACGCUGAUACGUCUCGUAAGUAUAUAGUAAAAUUAGAAAUUUUAACCGUGACGUUUUGUGGCCGUAACAACUUUUUUAGCAUUGCUACAGUAACAUUUUUUCGAAGAUGAAAAAAUGACAUGAAUGUGAAUAUAUGAGCCUUGAAAUUAGGCAAAAAAAAAAUGUUUUCUCCUUGUACCAUCCUUAAAAUAUAGGGUAGAUAGCCAAGAUGCCGCCAGGUUUUAUUUACACAGUUUUAAUCAAUUGUAAAAGAGUUUUGUUUAUUAGCUGAACGGCAAUGGCACAUGUAUGCGCGUUUUUUAUAUUUCAUACUUGCAUGUUUGUUCGACGUUACCGUUUCGAAUUGUUUUUUUUUUUGAAGAAUUGACAAGUUAUGUAACGUUCAAAUAAAUGUGCAAUUACAUUAGUUAUCCCUUUAUUAAGUAAUUGUGAUAUUAUUUAUGGAAUAUGUAAUCACACAGACGGCCACACUAUAAAUAGUUAACAUACUGACAGAUCCGAAUAUCUACCGUUCAGACUUGAAAUACAGAAAUAUUAAGAUUCUGUGAAGAUAAGAAUUAUUUUCACAUCAGCGGAAACAUCAGUGCAAUUUUCCUUUCAGUGAUCUCAUUAUCUGCAUUGUCAUAUUCGAAGUUCGGCAAGGUGAUAAACAUGUAUUAUUUGAAACUCUUCUUAUCGUUAAAACAUUUUCUGCAAAAGAGGUUAUAGACCUGGGGCCGUAUUCAUAAAGCAUCUUAAGUAUAAGUUUUGACUUAAGUUUAAGAUUUUACUUAGGUUUGUGGUGAUUUCAACUUAAGUCUAAGUAAAAACUUAAGUUCUAGUCAUAAAACAGCUAAAACUAUUAAAGUGUUGUUCCCAGAUAAAAGCAUUUUAAACAUAAUUGUGCAUGUUGUAUCUGUCUGAAAUUAAUGUUGUUUUUUUAAUGUUUUCGUCCACAAUAAAAAACAAGAAUUACUUAUUAAAUUGUUUUAUGAAUAACAAAUAUACUUAAGUAAAAUAAAUUUCUAACCUAAGUAAUACUUAAGUAAAUAAUCAAUUUCUUAUACUUAUACUUAAGAUGCUUUAUGAAUACGGCCCCUGCACUUAUUUCAAAACGCAAAUAGUUAAAUACUUUAAAUACUUUGUAUAAAGCGUACCAAAUUUAUGUAGUACUUUUACAGAAAUGACCGAAUUUGUCUAUAAUAGCAUGAAAUAUUACAUGUAUGUUCAGAGCUAAUUGGCCGAUCGCGAUCACGUGCUUGUUGUGCUAAAAAGACAUUUAGACUCAGAUAAUAACGCGUAGGCCCGCACGGAUUACUCGAUGCAUAUAUUAGGAUUUUUAUCGCAUCUUUAUACUAGGUAUACAAUCUAUAACUGUAUAGUACUAGUAGUUACUGAGUUAAUAUAUAGUUUUGCGGAUGCCAUCGAUUGCAGAAUCGCUCAUUCUGCAAGAAGUCAUUUCAUGUCUCCAGUCGCACUGAUUGUGCAUAACGAUAAAUCUUUCUCCAUUUUACUGACGCAUGCACAGGAUUUCCUUGCACUUUCUUCUAUUACCGGACCGACGUCUCUCUCCUUUUUUGAGCAUUCUUGCAUUCAUUUGCGACAGACCGAUAGUGGCUAAUACUACAGUCGUGUGUGAAAUGAGAUGAAAUUGUGAAAUAUAAGGUUACUUUUAUUCCACUUUUACAGUCACAGAAAGUGAUCUUAUUUCAUGCAUGCGCUGUCUGCAUUGCCUUGCAGUGCCGCAGCUCCUAAAAUGUCAAAGCUAUUUUGUCACUUUUACAAUUCUGCAGAUACAUUUUGGUCCGAACAAUGUUUCCAUUAUAAUGUGAACUGGGCCAAAAGAAAUCCUUGUAUUCUGAUUAUAUCACGGCAUCAGUUUUACUUAAUUAUAUUAUAACAUUAC